rnacentral:tRNA from 1 species
UAUUUAGUAUAAAAAGUAUAUUUAACUUCCAAUUAAAUGGUUUAAUAUUUUGAAAUAAAUA